rnacentral:rRNA from 2 species
UGUCAAGUCGGAUGUGAAAUCCCCGGGCUCAACCUGGGAACUGCAUUCGAAACUGGCAGGCUAGAGUCUUGUAGAGGGGGGUAGAAUUCCAGGUGUAGCGGUGAAAUGCGUAGAGAUCUGGAGGAAUACCGGUGGCGAAGGCGGCCCCCUGGACAAAGACUGACGCUCAGGUGCGAAAGCGUGGGGAGCAAACAGGAUUAGAUACCCUGGUAGUCCACGCCGUAAACGAUGUCGAUUUGGAGGUUGUGCCCUUGAGGCGUGGCUUCCGGAGCUAACGCGUUAAAUCGACCGCCUGGGGAGUACGGCCGCAAGGUUAAAACUCAAAUGAAUUGACGGGGGCCCGCACAAGCGGUGGAGCAUGUGGUUUAAUUCGAUGCAACGCGAAGAACCUUACCUGGUCUUGACAUCCACAGAACUUUCCAGAGAUGGAUUGGUGCCUUCGGGAACUGUGAGACAGGUGCUGCAUGGCUGUCGUCAGCUCGUGUUGUGAAAUGUUGGGUUAAGUCCCGCAACGAGCGCAACCC